GACUCUGGAAUUGGUGAUGCAA
rnacentral:siRNA from 1 species